AUUUGCUUGCGCUGUGUCUGGGGACUCAGGUGUGUGUGUUUUGCUUAUUCAGUGAAGUUAGUUGCUAGCGAAUCCUGAAUCUCUCUCAGCAGUGUGUGCAGCCUGAACACAACCACCUUUUGUGCCACUGUCCAGUCUGGCUUCUCUAAUUCAAGCCGAGGGAAAUGCUAAGAAUGAAAAUUCAAUAAAAAUGAAGUUUAGGAAACACCAGCGGGUCAAUUCCUGCCGACUAAGAAAUGCCAGC